rnacentral:lncRNA from 1 species
AAAGCGGAAGGAGAAAAAGUUGUUUACAUGGUCUGCUGGAAGCGAUGAAGACGAUGGUGAAGCUCUUUCUGUGUGAUCGGGUGACACUAUCUGGGUACCCGUUUCCACCUUCCCUUCGUUCUUCUGGCUUUAUUCUUUCUGUUUCUGAUGGUUUGAAGUGGUGAAGCUGGAGACUAAUGCCCAGGCUGAUCAAUACUUUCAGUUUCUCUGUUUUCUUUUGUUCACUUUGUUUGCGUUCUGGGGACAAAAGCAAAGCUGGGAACGCUGGCUUUUUGCUCUCUCCUCUUUUUUUUUUGUCUGUGUUUUCGGUCUUCCCGCUCUCGGUACCCCUGGUUUGUUCCCUUUUCUAGUUCUUCCCUCUGUUUUGUUCUCUGGUCUCUCUCUAUCUACUCUCUGUCUAUUCCCCUGUUUUUUUUCUUCGUCUCUGUUCUCUGUCUCUUUUUUUCGUUCUUCCCUGCCGUUUGUCCCCUUUCUCUGUGGCCUUCUCUGACUUUUAUAAAGCCAGAGGAUGGCAUCUGUUCAUGUGUUUGUGCCUCACGAUCGUGAGGCACGAACGCCUCUGUUUCUUUGAGAAGAAACAGGGGAAACAAUUUGCUAUUCUGGUUCGUCCUUCUGUGUUCGUUUUCUCCCCCUUUCUCUCGGUUCCUUCUCUAGAUUUUAGAGCCAGAGAAUGCCAUGCGCCUCCAGAUAAUGAGGCGACCAUGCAUGGACUUUAAUUCAGGAGCAACGGUCGGCGACUCUUCGUGUACGUUUCAGGAGUGGCGUGGCAUUUUUCCUCUAGCCUUACAGCCGAGUAAAUGCCGUACUUUUUCAGUAACGUAUUGCAUCGUGGGUAGCUGAGGUGAAUUGCCUCUUCUUCUUUCCCGCUGAAACGGCUUCCCUGGUGUAAUGAAGAAGGUGAUGAACAGUGUCCUUUGAAACGGUAUCAUUUUGAGAUGUGAAAUGGCCAUUUUCAGUUUGUUCACUCAAGUUCUAAAAUUUUGUGGUCAAGUCCUUGUGUAAAUUGCAAUUGGACCCCUGAAUCUCAGCGCCAUUUACAAAUUGGUCCUUGGAUUUUAAUUUCAUGCAACUUUAACCAGAAUCAGCCCUAUACUUUGAUAAUUUUUCAAUUAAGC